rnacentral:rRNA from 1 species
CCCCUAGAUGGUCUGGGCCGCACGCGCGCUACACUGAACAGUUCAACAAGUCUUAACCUUGGCCGAUAGGUCUGGGUAAUCUUUGAACGCUGUUCGUGAUUGGGAUAGACCUUUGCAAUUAUGGGUCUUCAACGAGGAAUUCCUAGUAAACGCAAGUCAUCAGCUUGCAUUGAUUACGUCCCUGCCCUUUGUACACACCGCCCGUCGCACCUACCGAUUGAAUGGUCCGGUGAAAUCUCGGGACGGCGGCUUGGUCGCUUGCGUCCGACUGCUGAAACUUGAUUAAACCAUAUCAUUUAGAGGAAGGUGAAGUCGUAACA